AUUUUAUGAGAUCAAGGAAGGGCAGAGGAGAGAGUGGGGAACAAGUCUAAAGUACACCUCUACUAAGGAGCAGAGCUGGAUUUGAAUUCAGGUUUGCCAGAUU